CUGGAAAAUUAGAAAAUAAUAAGAGAAACAGAUUUACAUUUAUACUGUGUCUUAGUUUGCAUGGAUUCCAUAACAAAAAUACCAUAGACUGAGUGUCCUGGACAAUGUAAACUUAUUUUCUCAUAAAUCUGGAAAUUAGAAGCUCCAGAUGAAGGACUGGUGGGAUUGGUUUCUGGUGAAGGCUCUCUUGACUUAAAUAUAUAUGGGGAACUGACAAUACUAGUUGGGAAAAAUUAAGGAGGAGUUAAAAAAAACCUUCUUUGCCAACAUCCUCAAAUCACUGGAAAUCACCAUGUGCUUUGAGUAUGUGCUAAGUCAUUCAUUUUCAAAGUUUUAUGAUGCUCCCGGCUUUAGGAAGCUUAUUGUAUUUCAUCUAGAGUAGUGUUGGUAGAGGAGAUAAAGGGAGAGAAUGGGCAGUAAUUAUUUCUAUUUAUCUAUGAAAAAGUGAUCAGAACAAGGUCACUCAAUUUAGUAGUAAAGCUGGAACUGUAACCAUAAUUUGCUAAUUCCUUGCUGUAGAUGCUUUCCUUGGGCUCUGUAUCAACAGUGCAAAGUGCCUCCAAGAGAUGUGGACCAUGAGGUGAAUUUUUACAGGAUAAGGAAGGGCACUAAUAUAUCCAGGUAACCCAUUUCUCUAGGCUAUGAUGUUUGGGGUAUAGUGCCAAGAAC
rnacentral:lncRNA from 1 species